AUGGCGGCCUUAGCAGGGAGAGGUGCCAUGGUGCUGCGUAGAAGUAUCAGUCGGCCAGUUGUUUUUGUGAGAAAAAUUCCUUGGACCAAGACAAGGAGACUGGCUUUCACAGAGGUUUGGGUUGGGUUCAGUGUUCUUCAGAACUUCAGAAUGCACUACAGCAGGAAUAUCAUAUUAUAGGUGGAGUAAAGCUCCAGGUUUAAGCUCAAAGGCCAAAAGUUUUGCAAACAUCUGAUGAUGAAGAGAAAGAUUUUUGA
rnacentral:lncRNA from 1 species